CUAGCGACUUCAGAGUUUGUAUCCUGGCUCAGGACGAACGCUGGCGGCACGCCUAACACAUGCAAGUCGAACGGUGACGAGGACUUCGGUUCUCUGAUCAGUGGCGGACGGGUGAGUAACACGUGAGCAACCUGCCUUUCAGUGGGGGACAACAGUUGGAAACGACUGCUAAUACCGCAUAACGUCACCGGGAGGCAUCUCCUGGUGACCAAAGAUUUAUCGCUGAAAGAUGGGCUCGCGUCUGAUUAGAUAGUUGGUGAGGUAACGGCUCACCAAGUCGACGAUCAGUAGCCGGACUGAGAGGUUGAACGGCCACAUUGGGACUGAGACACGGCCCAG
rnacentral:rRNA from 1 species